ensembl:miRNA gga-mir-1465 gga-mir-1465
GCAAGGUGUUAAUGAUGAGCCUUUCAGAGGUGCUGGGUGCUUAUGGCUCCCACGAAGGUCACUUAGAGCUUUGUACACUAACACUCCUGGAAAGGUUCUGGCUGGCACCC